rnacentral:rRNA from 1 species
GAUGAACGCUGGCGGCGUGCCUAAUACAUGCAAGUCGAGCGAACGGACGAGAAGCUUGCUUCUCUGAUGUUAGCAGCGGACGGGUGAGUAACACGUGGAUAACCUACCUAUAAGACUGGGAUAACUUCGGGAAACCGUAGCUAAUACCGGAUAAUAUUUUGAACCGCAUGGUUCAAAAGUGAAAGACGGUCUUGCUGUCACUUAUAGAUGGAUCCGCGCUGCAUUAGCUAGUUGGUAAGGUAACGGCCUACCAAGGCAACGAUGCAUAGCCGACCUGAGAGGGUGAUCGGCCACACUGGAACUGAGACACGGUCCAGACUCCUACGGGAGGCAGCAGUAGGGAAUCUUCCGCAAUGGGCGAAAGCCUGACGGAGCAACGCCGCGUGAGUGAUGAAGGUCUUCGGAUCGUAAAACUCUGUUAUUAGGGAAGAACAUAUGUGUAAGUAACUGUGCACAUCUUGACGGUACCUAAUCAGAAAGCCACGGCUAACUACGUG